CGAUAAUUUGAUCAUUUCAGCUGUGACUGCGCAACCAACUUAGGAUUCAAAACUCAUUACCAGAUGUCACUAGGGUCGCCAUUGUUGUUUUUACAAUGUUAAAUGAGGCGAAAAGGGCGAAACAAAUUGUAGCUGAUUAAUACUUUCUGUGAUUAUAUUCCUGUGAUUUCUUAUACCAAAUUGAACUUCGUAACUUGUUUAGAUGCAUACUGUCAGUCAUUCGAAAUUGUUGACUUAGCGCUCAGUCACUUUCCAUCCAAUAGACCAAUCAUGCUGUCAAAAGCCUAAAACUAAUGUUUGAAGCUCACACAUAGUAGAAUACAAAUCUGCCGAGUUAAGGAUCUUUUCUGAAUCUUGCAAUUUUGGUGGCACACCCUGCAAUAGCAUGUUUGUUGUUAUGGAUGUUAAAUUUACUUCGGUUUAGAAGGCAACCCAGCUAAGAGAUAGUUCAGAGACAUGAAGCGUGUGAAGUGAAUAACCUGCCAUAUUUAUGUACAUGUACCAGAUUUGCUUGAUGAAAGUCAAAUGCUUUAUUAAGUUUAUCACCCAUAUGAUAAGCAUCAGGAAAUUUUUCUCAACAUGUGGAGUAAUGCUGUUGGUUGCUGUGAAUUCCAUUUUUACGGUUUUUUCAUCAUGAGCAUUUCCGUGUGCUUCUUAGAAAAG